rnacentral:rRNA from 1 species
GACAGAGGGUGCAAACGUUGUUCGGAAUUACUGGGCGUAAAGCGCGUGUAGGCGGCCCUGCAAGUCGGAUGUGAAAUCCCACGGCUCAACCGUGGAAGUGCAUUCGAAACUGCAGGGCUAGAGUCCUGGAGAGGAAGGUGGAAUGCUUGGUGUAGAGGUGAAAUUCGUAGAUAUCAAGCGGAACACCGGUGGCGAAGGCGGCCAGCUAGACCAGUUCUGACACUGAGGCGCGACAGCGUGGGGAGCAAACAGG